rnacentral:rRNA from 1 species
GCCUGCGGAGGGAUCAUUACACAAAUAUGAAGGCGGGCUGGAACCUCUCGGGGUUACAGCCUUGCUGAAUUAUUCACCCUUGUCUUUUGCGUACUUCUUGUUUCCUUGGUGGGUUCGCCCACCACUAGGACAAACAUAAACCUUUUGUAAUUGCAAUCAGCGUCAGUAACAAAUUAAUAAUUACAACUUUCAACAACGGAUCUCUUGGUUCUGGCAUCGAUGAAGAACGCAGCGAAAUGCGAUAAGUAGUGUGAAUUGCAGAAUUCAGUGAAUCAUCGAAUCUUUGAACGCACAUUGCGCCCUUUGGUAUUCCAAAGGGCAUGCCUGUUCGAGCGUCAUUUGUACCCUCAAGCUUUGCUUGGUGUUGGGCGUCUUGUCUCUAGCUUUGCUGGAGACUCGCCUUAAAGUAAUUGGCAGCCGGCCUACUGGUUUCGGAGCGCAGCACAAGUCGCACUCUCUAUCAGCAAAGGUCUAGCAUCCAUUAAGCCUUUUUUUCAACUUUUGACCUCGGAUCAGGUAGGGAUACCCGCUGAACUUAAGCAUAUCA